CCUACGGGGGGCAGCAGGCGCGAAAACUUUACAAUGCGGGCAACCGCGAUAAGGGGACCUCGAGUGCUGGGUUACAAACCUGGCUGUUGGGCUGCCUAAAAAGCAGUCUAUAGCAAGGGCCGGGCAAGACCGGUGCCAGCCGCCGCGGUAACACCGGCGGCUCGAGUGGUAACCGCUAUUAUUGGGUCUAAAGGGUCUGUAGCCGGCCGACUAAGUCUCUUGGGAAAUCUGGCAUCUCAAGUGUCAGGCUGCCAGGGGAUACUGGUCGGCUUGGGACCGGGAGAGGUGAGAGGUACCUCGGGGGUAGGGGUGAAAUCUUGUAAUCCUCGAGGGACCACCAGUGGCGAAGGCGUCUCACCAGAACGGAUCCGACGGCAAGGGACGAAAGCUAGGGGCACGAACCGGAUUAGAUACCCCCGUAGUCC
rnacentral:rRNA from 1 species